rnacentral:rRNA from 1 species
UACGGGGGGGGCAAGCGUUGUUCGGAAUUAUUGGGCGUAAAGAGCUCGUAGGCGGUUUGUCGCGUCUGCUGUGAAAUCCCGAGGCUCAACCUCGGGCCUGCAGUGGGUACGGGCAGACUGGAGUGCGGUAGGGGAGAAUGGAACUCCUGGUGUAGCGGUGGAAUGCGCAGAUAUCAGGAAGAACACCGAUGGCGAAGGCAGUUCUCUGGGCCGUAACUGACGCUGAGGAGCGAAAGCGUGGGGAGCGAACAGG